ensembl:lncRNA
GUUUCUUCGUUUUUUCCCCAGUAUGUUUCUUCUGCGUCAGGAGCCCGGCCAGAAUACUGCAUCACGUGAUUGUCCACCUGACUUUUUCAUUGUGAAGGUAUGAGUGCGUGCAUGCUAAGUCAUCUCAGUUGUGUCCAACUCUGUGCGACCCUGUGGACUGCAACCCGCCAGGCUCCUCUGACCGUGGGAUUCUCCAGGGGAUCUUCCUGACCCAGGGAUCGAAACUGUGUCUCCUAUGUCUACGUGCGUGGGCAGGUGGAUUCUUUACCACUAGCGCCACCUGGGAAGUCCCCGUUUUGUGUAUAUUUUACCACAUUUUUUUUUAAGCUGAAGAAAUAAAU